rnacentral:rRNA from 1 species
ACAGAGGGUGCGAGCGUUAAUCGGAAUUACUGGGCGUUAAGCGCACGCAGGCGGAUCGUUAAGUCAGGGGUGAAAUGCCGAGGCUCAACCUCGGAACUGCCUUUGAUACUGGCGAUCUUCGAGUCCGGGAGAGGUGAGUGGAACUCCGAGUGUAGAGGUGAAAUUCGUAGAUAUUCGGAAGAACACCAGUGGCGAAGGCGGCUCACUGGCCCGGUACUGACGCUCAGGUGCGAAAGCGUGGGGAGCAAACAGGA